UCCUAACUUAAGUAGCAAAAAUUAAAUUAAUUCCACAAAUUGCAAAAAGUGUCAAAAUCGAAAUUUUUUGAAAAUUCACAAAAAAUUGUUAAUAACUUUUCUUGCUUUAAAGUAUCACAUUGAAUAUAGCUUAGUAUGUCCUAAAAGAUGUAUUUAAAAAUUGUAGGAGUGUUUUUUCGAGAAAUCUGCAUUUUACCUUCACACCGUAACCAUUUUGUAAAGAAAUUCAGCUGCCCAAAAGUCAAAAACCAAUCUGAAACUGUGCGCAUGGUUAAAGGUUUAUCUAGCACUUCUUUGACAACACAAUUUAAAAAAGAGAGGAGUGGGAAAAAUUGAACUCGGGAAACGAAGUUACCGAGGAGAGAGUUACCGUCAAAGCCGACUCCAAUUUGUAUUUCCCAGGAGUUGAAAAGUUUCGCCGAGCGCUCAAUGAAGCCAGUGAGGUGGAUGCUGAAGGGCGAAGUUCUUGCUUUAUGGUUUAUCUCUCCAACUUGACGGAAAUUGACUACAGCGCACUUAAAAUGCUUGUAUCCGUGGCGUCUCAGUGUCACAAAAACAAUCUGUGCUACAUUUCGUCAAUGCUACUCCAAUUGAUUUCUUUUACCCUACCAUCGGCAGAUAUAGCAUUUUUGCCCAAGGUGGAUAAAGAUUACGUAACAAAAGAAAUCCAGAUGGAAGAAAUUGCCGCUUAAGUUCUACUUUAGAAGGUAACACCCGUGGAUUGAGGUACAAGAGUGACGGGAAAAUUAUAGUUCUUAAUGAGGAGAAAACCUGGAGAAAUGCGCGAGUUCUUUUAAACGCAAUUAUAAACAAAAAACAGUGUAGAGAUAAAUUGUUUCUUUAUUUCACUUUAUGUAUUGAAGUUCAUUUGAUGGACCUAAAUAUCGGUUAGUUAUUGAAUCCGUUAGUUAUAUUACACUGUAGCCAAAUUGGAUUAAAAGGAUGAAUUACACAGCUUUGUAUUUCUU